rnacentral:rRNA from 1 species
GACGAACGCUGGCGGCGUGGAUUAGGCAUGCAAGUCGGACGGUAGGGCUUUAUCGUAAGAUAGAGUUUGAGAGUGGCGAACGGGUGAGUAACACGUAGGAAUCUACCCUUAAGACGGGGACAACCCAGGGAAACUUGGGCUAAUACCGGAUGAGAGUGCGAGAGAUUGCAUUUAAAAGGAUGGCGAAAGUUGUCGCUUAGGGAUGAGCCUGCGGUCUAUUAGUUAGUUGGUAAGGUAAAGGCUUACCAAGGCGACGAUCAGUAGCCGACCUGAGAGGGUGACCGGCCACACUGGAACUGAGACACGGUCCAGACUCCUACGGGAGGCAGCAGUGGGGAAUAUUGCACAAUGGAGGGAACUCUGAUGCAGCGACGCCGCGUGAGUGAAGAAGGUCUUCGGAUCGUAAAACUCUGUCCUUGGUGAAGAAAAGGACGGUAGCCAAGGAGGAAGCCCCGGCUAACUACGUG